AUAAUCCGCCUCCCGCCGGCACCCGAAUCCGCCCCGUCAAAUAGUAUUUGCUUUAUAAAUUACAAUAUUAUUAAUAUUUUAUAAAUAUAAAUCAACAAAAUUUUUAAUAUUAAUUGACAAUAUUAUCAAGUUAUAUAUAAUUAAUAAUAUCAACUAUAAAAAUAAAAAAUAUCAAUCACAACUCGCAACAAAAUUCAAAAAUUUUAAAUACAUACAUAUGGAAAAAUUUUAAAGACAUACAUU
rnacentral:lncRNA from 1 species